AUCGCUUCUCAGACUUUUGGCUAAGAUCAAGCGUAGUAUCUGUUCUUAUCAGUAAUUAACUUCAGAAAGGUUAACUCAUCUUCAGCAAGGCAGUAAUCCCCU
ensembl:snRNA U2 U2 spliceosomal RNA